rnacentral:rRNA from 1 species
CGCCGCGUGGGGGAUGACGGCCUUCGGGUUGUAAACCUCUUUCAGCAGGGACGAAGCGCAAGUGACGGUACCUGCAGAAGAAGCACCGGCCAACUACGUGCCAGCAGCCGCGGUAAUACGUAGGGUGCAAGCGUUGUCCGGAAUUAUUGGGCGUAAAGAGCUCGUAGGCGGUCUGUCGCGUCGGCUGUGAAAACCCGGAGCUCAACUCCGGGCCUGCAGUCGAUACGGGCAGACUGGAGUUCGGCAGGGGAGACUGGAAUUCCUGGUGUAGCGGUGAAAUGCGCAGAUAUCAGGAGGAACACCGGUGGCGAAGGCGGGUCUCUGGGCCGAUACUGACGCUGAGGAGCGAAAGCGUGGGGAGCGAACAGGAUUAGAUACCCUAGUAGUCCACGCCGUAAACGUUGGGCGCUAGGUGUGGGGGCCAUUCUACGGUUUCCGUGCCGCAGCUAACGCAUUAAGCGCCCCGCCUGGGGAGUACGGCCGCAAGGCUAAAACUCAAAGGAAUUGACGGGGGCCCGCACAAGCGGCGGAGCAUGUUGCUUAAUUCGAUGCAACGCGAAGAACCUUACCUAGGCUUGACAUGCACGGAAAUCUCGCAGAGAUGCGGGGUCCGUAAGGGUCGUGCACAGGUGGUGCAUGGUUGUCGUCAGCUCGUGUCGUGAGAUGUUGGGUUAAGUCCCGCAACGAGCGCAACCCUCGUUCCAUGUU